UCCUCCUGAACAAGUGCAGUUUUCUUCAUUUGUUUCUGGAUGAACCCCGUUUUAACGAGCACAUCAUCCUUCAGGGUGCUAUUUUCCUCCUGUAGGGUGCUAUUUUCCUCCUGUAGGGUGCUGUCUUUCUCCUCCAGGAGGUGCGGUUUUUCUCCUGCAGGGUGCUAUUUUCCUCCUGUAGGGUGCUGUCUUUCUCCUCCAGGAGUUUAUUCAAGUUGUCCACUUGUUUCUGGAGCGCCUCGGUUUGGAUCUUGCUUUCCUCCAGCUCGGUGGUAAGCUUCUUCAGCUCCACAGCGUGAAAGUCGCGGACAACCUCGAGUUCAGUUCGGAGGCCCUGAUUGACCGCCUGCUCAGCUUGGAGCUCUUUUAGGCUGUUUUUGUGGGCCACUUUGAGAUCCCUCACUUCAUCUUGCAGGUCGCUGUCUUUCUUCUGAAGGAUGCGGUAUUUGUCCGCAAAGAAGAGGUUUUCCCCCUGCAGGGUGCUAUUUUUCUCCUGAAGCAGCGUAGUUUUCUCCACUUGUCUCUGGAGGGACCCCGUUUGGACGAGCAGUUCAUCCUGCAGUUUGCAGUUUUCUUCCCGCAGGGUGCUAUUUUCCUCCUGCAGGUUGCUGUCUUCCUCCUCCAGGAGCUUAUUCAAGUGGUCCACUUGUUUCUGGAGAGACUUGCCUUUCUCCAGCUCGGUGGUAAGCAUCUUCAGCUUCACGUCCUGAAAGUCGCUGAGGUCCUCGAGGAGGACCUCCUGCUUAGCUUGGAGCUUUUCUUGGCUGGUUUUGUGAGCCACUUUGAGAGCCAUCACCUCAUCCUGCAGGGCGCGUUUUUUCUCCUGCGGGGUGCUGUCUUUCUCGUCCAGGAGCUUAUUCAAGUUGUCCACUUGUUUCUGGAGGGACCCGUUUUGGAAGAUCUUGCUGACCACUUCA